GCACGAGUGGCCAAGUGGUAAGGCGUCGCACUUGUAAUGCGAAGAUCGCGGGUUCGAAUCCCGUUUCGUGCU
rnacentral:tRNA from 1 species